UUUGAUAAUUUUGCGGUUGAUGGGGUCAUUUAAGUUUAUGUUAAGGGCCCAUAGCUCAGGCGGUUAGAGUGCACCCCUGAUAAGGGUGAGGUCGGUAGUUCGAAUCUACCUGGGCCCACCAUUCAAUCAGGCAAGGGGCCGUAGCUCAGCUGGGAGAGCGCCUGCUUUGCAAGCAGGAUGUCAGCGGUUCGAUCCCGCUCGGCUCCACCAAUUGCGAAUUUAUAGUUUUUUUGUUCUAGGGAUUUUUUUUAAAGCAAUAGUUUUUUGAAAAUUGAAUAAAAGGGAGAUUUUUUUGUAUUUUUUAUAUUGGCAUUGUAUGCGAUAUGGGAGGUACCGACGUUGUAUAACCGCACGUUGAAAAUUUAUCUCAGGAAAUUGGUCUAUUGAAAGAGCAUAAUUUAUUUAUGUUUUUUUAAUUAAGAAACGUUUGUAAUGAACUUUAUGACGUAUUGACAAUGAGAGUAAUCAAGCGCGA
rnacentral:tRNA from 1 species